rnacentral:sRNA from 1 species
AAAAGAACUUUGGAGAGAGAGUCAAAAAGACCGCGAAACCGUUAGGAGGGAAACGAAUGCGGCUGAAGUGGCUCCCCGUCAGGCUCAGGAGAGGUGGGGUGGGGCCCCCGCUGGGUGGCGGUUGCUUCCGCGCCCGGCGGGGUGGUCCCCCGACUGCUCUGCACUUCUGCGGGGAGCCGGCCAACGGCAGUUGCCUCCGGCCCAAGAGGGCGCCGUGGGGAGGUGGCCCUGCGCUCGCGCGGGGAGCUUACAGCCCGGCGUCAUUGGCGUUUUUUUCCGGAGUGCGACUGAGGAGAGCCUGCGAGUCCUUCGCACGCUGCAGCGUGGGCUUCCCCCGCUGGGCGACCGGCGGCUGGGAGGCUGGGCCGCUUCAGCCCGGUGGGUGGCCGCGUCGGCCACUGCGUGCAGUGGACCGUGCGACGGUUUCUGCCCGCCGGGAUGGAGGCUGGCCGCACCUCGCGCUGUGGUCGUUGGUGCCCGAAUGGCCGCAUCCGACCCGUCUUG